rnacentral:rRNA from 1 species
CAGUCGCCGCGGGAAUACGGAGGGUGCAAGCGUUAAUCGGAAUUACUGGGCGUAAAGCGUGCGUAGGUGGUGGUUUAAGUCCGUUGUGAAAGCCCUGGGCUCAACCUGGGAAUUGCAGUGGAUACUGGGUCACUAGAGUGUGGUAGAGGAUAGUGGAAUUUCCGGUGUAGCAGUGAAAUGCGUAGAGAUCGGAAGGAACAUCUGUGGCGGAGGCGACUAUCUGGGCCAACACUGACACUGAGGCACGAAAGCGUGGGGAGCAAACAGGAUUAGAUACCCCUGUAGUCCCUGUCUCUUAUAA